UACGGAGGGUGCGAGCGUUAAUCGGAAUUACUGGGCGUAAAGCGCACGCAGGCGGAUACUUAAGCUAGAUGUGAAAGCCCCGGGCUCAACCUGGGACGGUCAUUUAGAACUGGGUAUCUAGAGUCUUGGAGAGGGGAGUGGAAUUCCAGGUGUAGCGGUGAAAUGCGUAGAUAUCUGGAGGAACAUCAGUGGCGAAGGCGACUCCCUGGCCAAUGACUGACGCUCAUGUGCGAAAGUGUGGGUAGCGAACAGG
rnacentral:rRNA from 1 species